GGACCAAGGAGUCUAGCAUGUGCGCGAGUCAUUGGGACUAUCGAAUCCUAAAGGCGUAAUGAAAGUAAACGUUGAGCUUGCUUGACUUAGGGAAGAUGGGUGUCAAUUGACGCUUCGCACUCCCGGGGCGUCUCGUUCUCAUUGCGAGAUGGGGCGCACCUAGAGCGUACACGCUGGGACCC
rnacentral:rRNA from 1 species